AUGAGUGAAAAAUCAUUCAAAACAGUUAAAACUAAAUUGCUAGAAUGCAACAAGUUACCAGAACCAAUAAAGGACAUAAUAAAAAUAACGAGCAACAAUUCAUUAAAAGACUUAGAUGGAAACAAUUUCAAUCAGUUAUGGAUUUUAACACAUGAUUUUGUUAAGGAAAUGACACUUGUUGACAAUAUUACACAGGAUGAAGAGUUAUUGCUAUGUUAUCAAUCAAUUUUAAAUCUUGUUAACUAUACAGUUACAUGCGCCGAUGAAGACAUAAUAGGUGCAUAUGAACAGAAUUAUUUAUUUAAAACAAUACUGGUGUUUCAAACUUUUUAUUCUACAAAUCUCAAAUAUAAGUUCAAAUUAGAUAUAGCAAAGAUGUGCUGUAGCUUCUGGCAAUUAAUAACUUCAUCACCAACACAAAAUGGAUCUGACAAUAUCAAUUUAGACUUAAUUUUAACUCAAAAUUUUGUCUUUACUUUUAAUUAUAUAUUUGAUACUAUUAAAGUGACUACUAAAAAAAUGGAUAUGAAAGUUCUAUCUACUUUACUGUGGGAAUUUUGCAAAGUUGUGAGCACUUUAUCUUCCAAUAUAAAUGGAUUGAAUUUAAUAGUUCCCAAUUUGAAAAAAUUAAUGAAGUGUCCAUUGUUUUUGGAGACUGAAACAGGAAAAUUAGCUAUCGCAGAUAUAUUUACUUGUAGUCAACAACUAUUUCAUAAAUUUCAUCAAACAGUCAAACAAAAUUUACCAAAAGCAAAAAAGUUAGAAGCUGAAUCAUAUGGAGAAAUAUAUUUUAUUUCAUGGAUAAAUUCUAAUUCAUCUAUUAGAGAAGUUAUUGAAGAACAAAUGUUUGACUUAAUAUCCAAAACAUUAACAUUAAAGCGUACAGGUUUAGCUUUUUGUACUUAUCGUAAUGCUUUAAUUCUUUUGCAAAGUUUGCAAAAUCACAGAAAACAUUUAAUGUUUAGCAAGGUCAUAACUAAACUAUAUGCUCCUGUUAUUUGGAGACAACUAACGAGUGAAUUUAGUGUGAUUAGAUGCAAUGCUACUGAUAUUUUAGCAAGAGCUUAUCCUUUAGAAAAAAGAGGAGAAGGUCGAGAAGUAUCUUCAAGGUUUUUAAUAAAACAACAAAAUGCAUUUUUGGAUUUACUAGUGGAUGUAUGUCCUCAAGUUCGAAUAGCAGCUAUAAAAGGAAUUUGUAGCUGUAUGAGAUAUUUUUGGAAUUCUUUUGAAGAUGAUCAAAUAAUUGAAUGUUUUAAAAUAUUUAUACGUUUAAUUGAUGAAAGCAUAUUUGAAGUACGAAGAGUUUUAUUUUAUGGAUUUUGUCAGUUACUUGAAGAAUUUAAAUCCCAUAGUUAUUUUAGAAACCCUUUUCUUAUUACAAAAAUGAAAAAUACAUUUCAUGAUGAGAAUGAAAAAGUUAGACGUGCUUUUAUACAUCUUCUAUUGAAAAUAAAAAAGAUUGAUUCACAGUCAGACACUAAAGAUAAAAUCAACUUUACCAAAAUAGUUGAUUUAAGAGAUAUUGCUUCUGCACUUGCUCGUGAAGAUAAGCAAAAUGGAUUUUUACUUGUUGAUUUAAUUUUUGAUAAUUUUAUUGGAAGUAAAGUGGCAGACAGACAUACAACACUUACAAGAUUUUAUACGUUUUACAAAAUUAAUCCAAAUGCUUUUCGUAAACUGAUAAUUUAUUCAGAAAAACACCUAGACUUUCAUAAUGCUUGCAAACUUAUUUUAUCAUUGUUAAAAACUAUAUAUAAUGCACUGAAAAAAAAAGAAGAACGUUUAAAAAAUUUAGACAAAGAAAAUGACAUGCCCCCAAAAAGACAUAAAUCAAAUGAUGAUUCUGAUUUAACCAAUGAUACACAUAAUUCAUCUUGCAGUUCAUCCAUUAGUAAUAAUGAAGAUGAAGAACAAAAUGAAAGUAAUAAUAUAUGUUGUGUUUUGGAUUGUGUUCACUGUCUUAUGAUACUUCAUCGUAAUGAAUUUAAGAAUGAAAAAGACCAUCAACAACUAAAAGAUAUUCAAGAUUCUUCUGUCAUAUGUUUAAUUAAAAUAUUUAAGUUCUAUAAGGAAGGUGAUGCUUACUACAGUGCAGUUAGCUUAGCAAGUUUAAUGCCUUUAUCAAAAUUGAGUGCUCAUGUAUCUAUAACAAGUACAGCAUUAUCCACCUUAAAACAAUUGCCUUAUGAUAUAAAUCAAGCAGAAGAAGAAAUUGAUAUGCGAAAAGUUAGUUGUUUGGUUUAUUCAUUAUGCAUGUGGAAACGAGGCUAUGAGAUACUUCAAUUUGUAAAUGUUUGGUUUGACGAAGCAUUCAAAACUUUAAAUCUCAAUGAAACACAAUACCCGGAUUCUAAAAUUGAUAGAGGAAAAAGGGUCAGAUUCAAAAUAAAUUUUGAUGAAUGUAAACCAUUGACUGGUAUCUUAUUAAUAAACACAAUGCUUACCAAUUUACAAACACAAAAAACACUUACAGAUUCUGAUGUCAAUAAAAAAAAUACCUACGAUCUUUUCUUGUACUUGAAGCGUGUUAAGGCAGCAAUUGAGAACCGAAUAUCUUCAGAUAAUGUUUUAAGUAACUUAUUAUCAGAUGAAGUCUUAAUUGAGUUAUUUUUACUACAUAAUCGAUUACAUUUAAUUUAUCAUAGUCAGGAAAAAAACAUUGAUGAAAUUAUAAAGUAUCAAACUUCUAUUUUAAAUUGGGUCACUAACAAUCUACUUAUUUCUGAUUUACACCAUAAAGAUAAAGCUACUAUCAAAUUUGCCGUUAAAAUAAUAGAAAUUGUUAAUAAAAUAACAUUAAAUAUGUGUUUAAUGGCUUUUGUGAAUACAACAUAUUUGGAUGAUUAUAUUACAUUUUGUGCUACUGUCUUGCAUAAUCAUUUAGGUCCUUGGCUUUUAACAUCAAUGAUCGCAACUUUAGCACAUAUCUCAAAAUAUUUUAACUAUUUAAAAUAUGUGGAUAAUCAUUUCAAUGACACAUCAAUAUUGACAAAUUGUGUGUGUAGUAUUAUAUCAGUUCUCGGUGAAUCAAAAUUUAAUGCCGAUCGUUUUAUUAGUGUUAUUGGGGAUACAAAAGCAUUUCGAAGUAACUUGAUUAUGCAGAUUUUGGAAAUUUAUAAAACAAAUACAGUGGAAUUCAAUCAAGUUUUUAUGACACUCAUUGAAACUAUUAUGAAUAUUAUUGCUAAUCAAAUUCGAGAAAUUGACGAAAUUGAUUUAAAUGAACACCUUACAGAAAUGCCAUUUGCUAGUUAUCAGUUAGCAGCGAUAAUUUUAAGCAAUACAAAGUUAAGAAAACAUUUUUCAUCUAAUGCAGUUGUAAUAUUCUCAUCUGAUGUAUUUAAAAAUGACUGUGUUUUACUGCUAUCUGCAAUCUCUUAUGUGUAUACAUUAUCAUUUCAAUUAAGUAAAACAAUAGUAAUUGAUCUUGAACCAGUUGUAAAACUGCUCUAUAAAAAUUUGAUGGAACAUAACAUAGUUAGAGCUCCGCUUGGUGAUAACUGCACUAUAAAUAAUACAAAUGCUGAACGAGGCGUAUCAAUCUUGGAAACAUCUAACUUCAGUAAUGAAAUAACAAAUUUCAAACAAAAAGGACGCAAAGUCUUGAUUGCAACUGCUAAGCAAUUGCAUGUUACUUUAUCUGAGUAAUACAAUUACAUUUUUCCCUUUACAAGGAAAAAUAGUUUUAUUAAAAAUAAAAAUAAUGUGAUAGAUUAAUAUGCAUAUAUUACUGUUUAAAACCAGCAAAGAAAUUGAUGUUUGCUAAUCUAUAUAAAUUUUUUUUUUUUUGAUUAAAUAUAAAUAAAAAUAUUUAAAAUUUUACCAUGUGUGAGAAUGUUAUGUUAUGUGCCAAAACAUCAUUACAAUACUUAUGGACAAAAAUAAGAUAUUUUUUAAACAUACUUUCAUAACUUUUUUUAUGUAUAGGUACAUAUUUAAGAUGUUGAUAAAACUGUUAACUGAAUUAACUUAUGAACAAAAAUGUGAAUUUUAAGAGACUAAUUUGCAUUAAGAGUGUAUUUUUAUUUUACUUUUAAAUAUUUUGUAUCCUACAUUACAAUGUAUAAUUAUAAAUUAUUAUUACUUAUAGACUAAACUACUCUAUAAAAAUAAUUUUAAUGAAAACCACAGAGGUGAAGACAAUAAACAGUGCAAUUCUAUUUUGAACAAAAUGGCUUUAUUGUAUUAAGGUUAAAAUAGGGAUAUUUUUCGAUUAAAAACGUUUAGGAAGCGUAGAGGCAGUCGAGAAGCUUACAACACCCUAACCUCACAAAUCACACAGUGACGCGAGUACUACCAAAGCCAGCGUAUAUUUUACCUACCACCCCAUAUCACUGUGAACUCGGUAAUUACUACGAUUUUAGCUAUGCCAAUCAAUCAUGUAAUAUCAUUAAUUAUAGAACAGACUAUUAUACAUUGUAGUCUAUUCUACUAAUUUCUAUAACCAAUGGUAAUAUUAAUUCGUCCACGGCAACUUUUCAUCACCGUCGCCACUGUCAGAUUUUCAAUAUCUCUGGCUGAAACCGAAUGCAGUGAGGGAUUAUGCAUAUAAUUUAUAAUAAUUAUUAUUGUAUUUACAUAAUAACACAUACCUACGUGAUGGAUGAUGCGAUAAAUGUAAGACACUCAUUAUUUCAUGUAAUAGGGUAACAUUUAUAAAAAUAUUUUUAUCAUGUAAUUUUAAAUCCUCA